UGAGUACGAGCUGCUACGGCAGCGAAGUGGGUGAUGUCAUGCUUCCAAGAAAAGCCCUAUACCCGUUAAGGCAUGAUGGCCUGUACCCGAAACCGACACAGGUGGGGUGGUAGAGAAUACCGAGGGGCGCGAGGUAACUCUCUCUAAGGAACUCGGCAAAAUGGCCCCGUAACUUCGGGAGAAGGGGUGCCACCGCAAGGUGGUCGCAGUGAAGAGGCCCAGGCGACUGUUUACCAAAAACACAGGUCUCCGCUAAGUCGCAAGACGAUGUAUGGGGGCUGACGCCUGCCCAGUGCCGGAAGGUUAAGGAAGCUGGUCAGCGUAAGCGAAGCUAGCGACUGAAGCCCCGGUGAACGGCGGCCGUAACUAUAACGGUCCUAAGGUAGCGAAAUUCCUUGUCGGGUAAGUUCCGACCCGCACGAAAGGCGUAACGAUCUGGGCGCUGUCUCGGAGAGAGGCUCGGCGAAAUAGAAUUGUCUGUGAAGAUGCGGACUACGUGCACCCGGACAGAAAGACCCUAUGAAGCUUUACUGUAGCUUGGUAUUGUGCUCGGGCUCGGAAUGCGCAGGAUAGGUGGGAGGCUAUGAACCAUUGCUUGCGGGUGAUGGUGAGCCACUGGUGAGAUACCACUCUUUCCGAGCUAGAGUUCUAACAGCCACCCGUUAUCCGGGGGCUGGACAGUAUCAGGUGGGCAGUUUGACUGGGGCGGUCGCCUCCUAAAAGGUAACGGAGGCGCGCAAAGGUUUGCUCAGGCUGGUUGGAAAUCAGCCGACGAGUGUAAAAGCAGAAGCAAGCUUGACUGUGAGACCUACAAGUCGAACAGGGAGGAAACUCGGCUUUAGUGAUCCGACGGUUCUGCGUGGAAGGGCCGUCGCUCAACGGAUAAAAGUUACUCUAAGGAUAACAGGCUGAUCUCCCCCAAGAGUUCACAUCGACGGGGAGGUUUGGCACCUCGAUGUCGGCUCAUCGCAACCUGGGGCUGAAGUCGGUCCCAAGGGUUGGGCUGUUCGCCCAUUAAAGCGGUACGCGAGCUGGGUUCAGAACGUCGUGAGACAGUUCGGUCCAUAUCCGGUGCAUGCGCAGGAAUACUGAGAGGAUUUCUCCCUAGUAUGAGAGGACCGGGAGGAACGCACCUCUGGUGUACCAGUUAUCGUGCCAACGGUAAACGCUGGGUAGCCAUGUGCGGAGAGGAUAACCGCUGAAAGCAUCUAAGUGGGAAGCCCACCUCAAGAUGAGUAUUCCCAUGGGGUAACCCAGUAAGGUCACGGGAAGAACACCCGUUGAUAGGCUCUACAUGGAAGCGCAGUAAUGUGUGAAGCGGAGGAGUACUAAUAGACCGAGGGCUUGACC
rnacentral:rRNA from 1 species